GACGAACGCUGGCGGCGUGCUUAACACAUGCAAGUCGAGCGGUAAGGCCCUUUCGGGGGUACACGAGCGGCGAACGGGUGAGUAACACGUGGGUGACCUGCCCUUAGCUCUGGGAUAAGCCUGGGAAACUGGGUCUAAUACCGGAUAUGACUCCAUGACGCAUGUUGUGGGGUGGAAAGCCUUGUGCGGCUAGGGGAUGGGCCCGCGGCCUAUCAGCUUGUUGGUGGGGUGAUGGCCACCAAGGCGACGACGGGUAGCCGGCCUGAGAGGGCGACCGGCCACACUGGGACUGAGACACGGCCCAGACUCCUACGGGAGGCAGCAGUGGGGAAUCUUGCGCAAUGGGCGAAAGCCUGACGCAGCGACGCCGCGUGGGGA
rnacentral:rRNA from 1 species